CAAAAGCCAAACGCCAAGGUUAGAGGGGAGCCAACAGCAUGUCAGAGGUGCACUUUUGUUUUCUGAAGAAGUACAGCCCAAAGAAAGACACUCUUCAACAGACUGAAGAGCAAAGAGACAAUGUUAGGAGGGUUUGACAGGUGGAAACGCUGGAGGUCACGGAGGAUUUUCCAAGCUUUUAGAGCUGCUUCAAAACCAAAGCCACAACUUUAACAUCACAUCAGUAAUAGAGGAGCAUGCCAGUGAUUUUGUACUGUUCCUCUGCGAAACUGGGGGACUCAUAAAAGUAAGAGGGUGGAACUUGCAGGAUGCUGGUGCAAUUUGAGCACUCUGAACCAACUGUAGAUGGGCAAAGGCUGCAUGAUUAAGAAGAGAAAAUAAUGAUUUAUGCAAUUAUCAAGAUGCGCAGUGCAUCCAGCAGCUUCGACCCUCGGAGCUGAGCUCUCAGGAGGCCGACGUCCAGAGUCAUGAGGCCGGACUCGGGGCUCUCUCCGUGCGUCACGCGGGGCUCACCUCCACCUCCCACUGCCUCGGCUUUGGGCAGCAGGCAGUGGACAAAGUGAACCCUGGAGCGACGCACCAUGUCAAUCAGAGCAUCCUAAAAGAAGAUAGAAGGCGACAGUUGACAUGAAGAUGCUUCUUCAUGUCCAUCUGUGAACUGGGUUGGGUUUCAAAACAUCAAUCAAGACCGGAUGAUGAAUCAAAACCAGGGACUCAAAUUUUAAGGCAGAGACAAAUGGACAGAUUUAAGGAUCCAGGUAAUCUUGAGAUA